rnacentral:lncRNA from 1 species
AGGGGGGGGGGGAAUAAGAAUAGGUGUUUCCAUCGAUUCCACAAUUAAGAGGGGAAGAAGAUUACAAGAAAUCCAACGUUUUUGAAAACAUAAGCAAAAAAAAAUGUUGUUCAAUAUAUCAGACAUAAAAUUGCACCAAAGACUAACUUUUUAAUCAUAGUUCAAAUAAGGAUCCUAGUAUAUCAAGCUUCCAUAAAUAAAAAGAAAAAAGUGCAGCUAUAGCAAUACUAGCCUCGUCAAUCAACUGAAAAGGAUGGGAAUGGAGGGGGAAAAGACAAUCUAUGAAAUGGGGAGCAACCUGUUUGAUUUUUUUUGAACUUUAUAAUACACAAAUAAUUUCAAAAAUAUAGAAUAAACCGGUAAUUUUUCCUAUUUAAAUGGACUAAUUUUCAUAUUCAUGCGUCGAUUUUUGUAUCCAUCACUGGAUCUCCAAGAUUCGAUCUUUGGUUUGACUAUUAAAUCGCUGCUCAACUGUCCUUUGACCAAUGAAUACAAACCACCAAUUCACCUUUGAGGCUUCAAUGGUAGAAUGACUUGUACAUAAGCCAUCGUAUCUGCACUCAUCAAUCUUGAAUCAUGGAUGAUGUUUCUUUUCUGGACCAUCAGCAGGUAAAUCUUCAGAAAACUUCAUUUGUAUCACAUUCAAGUAUUCCAUGAUAAAUUGGCUUGUCAAGUUUCUGUUUAACGAACUGUGAGAUCUCCAGUUAAUAGUUCUCAAUUUUACUACAUAGAACCAUUUGUGUUGCCCUAAUGAAAGCUCAGAUUCUUUGAACUCUGUUGAUAGGGCAUCCAACCUCUCCUCAAAAAAAUUAGAGUGCCUCCAAAACAUUGCAAACAGUCUCGCAUUGUUUAAGCUUUUCAUGUUCCAUGACCAAGAACACAUGAGAUUUGUUGACUUAGAAUGUAGUCAGAUCCUUCAAGCAGUCAGGCAGGGAUCUUCGAGCAUUUAUAGGCGCAUCCAACAUCCAAUAUAGAAAUAUAUCAAGCAAUAUGAAUCUAAAUGAAAGUUAAAUCCAAUUUGGAGGAAAUUUAAGAAAAGAUAACAGAAAGGAGGAUGUGUUGGGAUCCUGGUUGAGUCCAUAGAUGAUGAAGAACAUAAUUGCAUAGAAUCAACGUCUGUUUAGAGAAAAAUUG